GAUGAACGCUAGCGAUAGGCCUAACACAUGCAAGUCGAGGGGCAGCAUAGAGUAGCAAUACUUUGAUGGCGACAGGCGCACGGGUGAGUAAAACGUAUGCAACAUACCUACAUCAGGGGAAUAACCCGGAGAAAUUCGGACUAAUACCGCAUAAUACAGGGAUGCCGCAUGGCAAUAUUUGUUAAAGAUUUAUCGGAUGUAGAUGGGCAUGCGUUCCAUUAGCUGGUUGGUAAGGUAACGGCUUACCAAGGUAACGAUGGAUAGGGGAACUGCGAGGUAUGUCCCCCACACUGGAACUGAGACACGGACCAGACUCGUACGGGAGGACGCAGUGAGGAAUAUUGGUCAAUGGACGAGAGACUGAACCAGCCAAAUCGCUUGAAGGAAGACUGCCCUACGGGUUGUAAACUUCUUUUGUACAGGAAUAAAAGACAUUACGUGUAAUGUAUUGCAUGUACUGUACGAAUAAGCAUCGGCUAACUCCGUGCCAGCCGCCGCUGUAA
rnacentral:rRNA from 1 species